rnacentral:rRNA from 1 species
GACGAACGCUGGCGGCGUGCUUAACACAUGCAAGUCGAACGGAAAGGCCCUGCUUGCAGGGUACUCGAGUGGCGAACGGGUGAGUAACACGUGGGUGAUCUGCCCUGCACUUCGGGAUAAGCCUGGGAAACUGGGUCUAAUACCGGAUAGGAGCCAUUUUUAGUGUGAUGGUUGGAAAGUUUUUUCGGUGUAGGAUGAGCUCGCGGCCUAUCAGCUUGUUGGUGGGGUAAUGGCCUACCAAGGCGGCGACGGGUAGCCGGCCUGAGAGGGUGGACGGCCACAUUGGGACUGAGAGACGGCCCAGACGCCUACGGGGGGCAGCAGUGGGGAAUAUUGCACAAUGGGCGCAAGCCUGAUGCAGCGACGCCGCGGGGGGGAUGACGGCCUUCGGGUUGUAAACUCCUUUCGCUAGGGACGAAGCUUUUUGUGACGGUACCUAGAUAAGAAGCACCGGCUAACUACGUG